rnacentral:rRNA from 1 species
UCGGUUCCUAAGGCGAGGCUGAAAAGCGUAGUCGAUGGGAAACAGGUUAAUAUUCCUGUACUUCUGGUUACUGCGAUGGAGGGACGGAGAAGGUUAGGCCAGCUUGGCGUUGGUUGUCCAAGUUUAAGGUGGUAGGCUGAAAUCUUAGGUAAAUCCGGGGUUUCAAGGCCGAGAGCUGAUGACGAGUCGUCUUUUGGAUGACGAAGUGGUUGAUGCCAUGCUUCCAAGAAAAGCUUCUAAGCUUCAGGUAACCAGGAACCGUACCCCAAACCGACACAGGUGGUCGGGUAGAGAAUACCAAGGCGCUUGAGAGAACUCGGGUGAAGGAACUAGGCAAAAUGGCACCGUAACUUCGGGAGAAGGUGCGCCGGCUAGGGUUAAGGAUUUACUCCGUAAGCUCUGGCUGGUCGAAGAUACCAGGCCGCUGCGACUGUUUAUUAAAAACACAGCACUCUGCAAACACGAAAGUGGACGUAUAGGGUGUGACGCCUGCCCGGUGCCGGAAGGUUAAUUGAUGGGGUUAGCGCAAGCGAAGCUCUUGAUCGAAGCCCCGGUAAACGGCGGCCGUAACGAUAACGGUCCUAAGGUAGCGAAAUUCCUUGUCGGGUAAGUUCCGACCUGCACGAAUGGCGUAACGAUGGCGGCGCUGUCUCCACCCGAGACUCAGUGAAAUUGAAAUCGCUGUUAAGAUGCAGUGUAUCCGCGGCUAGACGGAAAGACCCCGUGAACCUUUACUGUAGCUUUGCACUGGACUUUGAGCCUGCUUGUGUAGGAUAGGUGGGAGGCUUUGAAGCGUGGACGCCAGUUCGCGUGGAGCCAUCCUUGAAAUACCACCCUGGCAUGCUUGAGGUUCUAACUCUGGUCCGUAAUCCGGAUCGAGGACAGUGUAUGGUGGGCAGUUUGACUGGGGCGGUCUCCUCCUAAAGAGUAACGGAGGAGUACGAAGGUGCGCUCAGACCGGUCGGAAAUCGGUCGCAGAGUAUAAAGGCAAAAGCGCGCUUGACUGCGAGACAGACACGUCGAGCAGGUACGAAAGUAGGUCUUAGUGAUCCGGUGGUUCUGUAUGGAAGGGCCAUCGCUCAACGGAUAAAAGGUACUCCGGGGAUAACAGGCUGAUACCGCCCAAGAGUUCAUAUCGACGGCGGUGUUUGGCACCUCGAUGUCGGCUCAUCACAUCCUGGGGCUGAAGCCGGUCCCAAGGGUAUGGCUGUUCGCCAUUUAAAGUGGUACGCGAGCUGGGUUUAGAACGUCGUGAGACAGUUCGGUCCCUAUCUGCCGUGGACGUUUGAGAUUUGAGAGGGGCUGCUCCUAGUACGAGAGGACCGGAGUGGACGAACCUCUGGUGUUCCGGUUGUCACGCCAGUGGCAUUGCCGGGUAGCUAUGUUCAGAAAAGAUAACCGCUGAAAGCAUCUAAGCGGGAAACUUGCCUCAAGAUGAGAUCUCACUGGGAACUUGAUUCCCCUGAAGGGCCGUCGAAGACUACGACGUUGAUAGGCUGGGUGUGUAAGCGUUGUGAGGCGUUGAGCUAACCGGUACUAAUUGCCCGUGAGGCUUGAUC